rfam:TPA: Bos taurus chromosome 13, whole genome shotgun sequence.
UCCCUGGUAGCUCAGAUGGUAAAAUGUCUGCCUGCAAUGCGGGAGACCCAGGUUCGAUUCCUGGGUCGGGAA